GAUGAACGCUGGCGGCGUGCCUAAUACAUGCAAGUCGAGCGAACGGACGAGAAGCUUGCUUUUCUGAUGUUAGCGGCGGACGGGUGAGUAACACGUGGAUAACCUACCUAUAAGACUGGGAUAACUUCGGGAAACCGGAGCUAAUACCGGAUAAUAUUUUGAACCGCAUGGUUCAAAAGUGAAAGACGGUCUUGCUGUCACUUAUAGAUGGAUCCGCGCUGCAUUAGCUAGUUGGUAAGGUAACGGCUUACCAAGGCAACGAUGCAUAGCCGACCUGAGAGGGUGAUCGGCCACACUGGAACUGAGACACGGUCCAGACUCCUACGGGAGGCAGCAGUAGGGAAUCUUCCGCAAUGGGCGAAAGCCUGACGGAGCAACGCCGCGUGAGUGAUGAAGGUCUUCGGAUCGUAAAACUCUGUUAUUAGGGAAGAACAUAUGUGUAAGUAACUGUGCACAUCUUGACGGUACCUAAGCAGAAAACCACGGCUAACUACGU
rnacentral:rRNA from 1 species